AGUUUGAUCAUGGCUCAGAACGAACGUUGGCGGCGUGGAUUAGGCAUGCAAGUCGAACGAAGCACGGGGGCAACUCCGUGACUGAGUGGCGAAAGGGGCAGUAAUGCGUGGGUAACGUACCCCCUGGACCGGGAUAGCCACGGGAAACCGUGGGUAAUACCGGGAGAAGUAGCGAGGUCGCAUGGCCUUGCUACCAAACGGUCCGCCGCCGGGGGAGCGGCUCACGUGGUAUUAGCUUGUUGGCGGGGUAACGGCCCACCAAGGCUGAGAUGCCUAGCAGGUGUGAGAGCACGACCUGCGCCACUGGCACUGAGACACUGGCCAGACACCUACGGGUGGCUGCAGUCGAGGAUCUUCGGCAAUGGGCGCAAGCCUGACCGAGCGACGCCGCGUGUGCGAUGAAGGCCUUCGGGUUGUAAAGCACUGUCGAGGGGGAGGAAGCCGCAAGGUUGACCUAUCCCUGGAGGAAGCACGGGCUAAGUUCGUGCCAGCAGCCGCGGUAAGACGAACCGUGCGAACGUUGUUCGGAAUCACUGGGCUUAAAGGGCGCGUAGGCGGGUCACCAAGUCCGGGGUGAAACCUUUCGGCUUAACCGGAAAACAGCCUUGGAUACUGGUGACCUCGAGGGAGGUAGGGGUCUGUGGAACUUCUGGUGGAGCGGUGAAAUGCGUUGAUAUCAGAAGGAACGCCGGUGGCGAAAGCGACGGACUGGACCUCCACUGACGCUGAGGCGCGAAAGCUAGGGGAGCAAACGGGAUUAGAUACCCCGGUAGUCCUAGCCCUAAACGAUGGGUACUAGGUUGUGGACUAGACAUGGGUUCACAGCCGAAGCAAAAGUGUUAAGUACCCCGCCUGGGGAGUAUGGUCGCAAGGCUGAAACUCAAAGGAAUUGACGGGGGCUCACACAAGCGGUGGAGCAUGUGGCUUAAUUCGAGGCUACGCGAAGAACCUUAUCCUGGACUUGACAUGUGCGAAAGCGCUAGCAAGUAGGGUACGGAAACGCUACCCCAACGGUAUCCAGUCCGGAAGCUAGUACAGGUGCUGCAUGGCUGUCGUCAGCUCGUGUCGUGAGAUGUCGGGUUAAGUCCCAUAACGAGCGAAACCCUUGCCCCUAGUUACCACCUCGCAAGAGAGCACUCUGGGGGGACUGCCGGUGUCAAACCGGAGGAAGGUGGGGAUGACGUCAAGUCCUCAUGGCCUUUAUGUCCAGGGCUGCACACGUGCUACAAUGGCGUGAACAGAGGGAAGCGAAGGGGAGACCUGGAGCGAAUCCUAAGAAAGCAGGUCGUAGUCCGGAUUGGAGUCUGCAACUCGACUCCAUGGAGUCGGAAUCGCUAGUAAUCGCGAAUCAGCAUGUCGCGGUGAAUACGUUCCCGGGCCUUGUACACACCGCCCGUCACACCAUGGGAGUGGGUUGCACCAGAAGUAGAUAGUCUAACCUUAGGGAGGACGUUUACCACGGUGAGAUUCAUGACUGGGGUGAAGUCGUAACAAGGUAACCGUA
rnacentral:rRNA from 1 species